UAUAUAUAUAUAUAUAUAUAAGUAGGAGGAAUCCUACUUGGGCGCCUCCCCAAUUCGGCCUCCCCCCUUCCAUAAGUUCCCGGGGGGGGGGGGGGAGGAAGGAGGAGGGAGGAGGGAAGGAAGGGGGAGGCUGAAUCCCUCCCCUUCCUUC
rnacentral:sRNA from 1 species